ACACAUGCAAGUCGAACGAAGCUUGACGGAUGAUUUCUUCGGAAUGAAACCAGAUAUGACUUAGUGGCGGACGGGUGAGUAACACGUGAGCAACCUGCCUUUCAGAGGGGGAUAACGGCUGGAAACGGUCGCUAAUACCGCAUGACGUGUUCGGAUGGCAUCAUCUGAACAUCAAAGAUUUAUCGCUGAAAGAUGGGCUCGCGUCUGAUUGGAUAGUUGGUGGGGUAACGGCCUACCAAGUCUACGAUCAGUAGCCGGACUGAGAGGUUGAACGGCCACAUUGGGACUGAGAUACGGCCCAGACUCCUACGGGAGGCAGCAGUGGGGAAUAUUGCACAAUGGGGGAAACCCUGAUGCAGCAACGCCGCGUGAAGGAUGACGGUUUUCGGAUUGUAAACUUCUUUUCUUAGUGACGAAGACAGUGACGGUAGCUAAGGAAUAAGCAUCGGCUAACUACGUGCCAGCAGCCGCGGUAAUACGUAGGAUGCAAGCGUUAUCCGGAUUUACUGGGUGUAAAGGGAGCGCAGGCGGGACUGCAAGUUGGAUGUGAAAUACCGUGGCUUAACCACGGAACUGCAUCCAAAACUGUAGUUCUUGAGUGAAGUAGAGGCAAGCGGAAUUCCGAGUGUAGCGGUGAAAUGCGUAGAUAUUCGGAGGAACACCAGUGGCGAAGGCGGCUUGCUGGGCUUUAACUGACGCUGAGGCUCGAAAGUGUGGGGAGCAAACAGGAUUAGAUACCCUGGUAGUCCACACUGUAAACGAUGAUAGCUAGGUGUGGGGGGUCUGACCCCUUCCGUGCCGGA
rnacentral:rRNA from 1 species